AGAGGGAGAGCCUAGGAAACAGUGUGGAUCACAAGGAGGUGAUUGAGAGCUACUCUGCGUCUGGAAGAGUGAGGAGGAGCCUGUGUGGCAGAACAAAAUGGAUAAGGUCGUUCCAGCCGUGCAGAGGUGUGGAGGUGUGAGCCUGCAGGCAGGUGGCUCUGGCUGGAUCCCAGACUCUUCCAGCUGGAGUUGGAGGCUGACGCCCUAGUGAAUUUCCAUCAGUAUUCUUCCCAGCUGCUACCCUUCUAUGAGAGCUCCCCUCAGGUCCUGCACACUGAGGUCCUGCAGCACCUGACUGACCUCAUCCGUAACCACCCCAGCUGGUCAGUGGCCCACCUGGCUGUGGAGCUAGGGAUCCGCGAGUGCUUCCAUCACAGCCGUAUCAUCAGAGUCCGGAGUGCUCACCAGGUGCCAGGUCUUUGGGAGCUGAUUUCUACCCACCAUGAAAUUGAAUUUUCCCAACCCCCACAAGCUGUGCCAAUUGCGCGGAGAACGAGGAGGGCUGCACACCCCUGCACCUGGCC
rnacentral:sRNA from 1 species